AGGCGACGGAGUGCUACAUGACUACGCAUGCUGCCCCAUCCUCCGAGGCUCAUGCACCGAGGCUCCUAACUGCUACACCGAGGCUCCCGCCGAUUACCACACCGAAGCUUCAAAGUACUACUCUGCCCCGAUCUACACAACCAUAACUGAGGCGGCCAAUUAUUACGCUGUCCCGACUUGCUGCACAGAAGCUGCACUUUCGUACUACGUUGAA